GAGCGAGAGGGACACACUGUGAGGUUGCUGCAGGAGCCGACUACCGGAGCCGUGGGUCGUCCGCGGAAGUGUUUGAGAGUGAUUUAUCUGCGGAAUUGGCCAGGUUGGAUGGCGAGCUAUAGAGCCCUGAACUAGAGUCUGAAGCUUUAUGCCUGGAACCGAACUACUUGAACUGUAUCCACCCAACCGAACCCCGGGCUGGUAGGAGGCUUCUCAGCAGCCGCCCUCUGUUUUCCCUUCUUUUUGCCAAAACGCAACAAGUUCAUUGCGGUCCUCCUGAACCUUCAUUUUUCCCCGUCCCUUCACUAAAACCCCUCUGGACACUGCCACCACAGCGUGGACUUUGCAGGGCCCGUUUAAUGAACUAUGAUAUGGUGUUGCGCUCAUACCAUCGUUGGUAAAAACCAAGGACUAAAUCAUGUAUACUGAUAUUGUAAAUAACUGAACGUUGUGUGAAUUGAUGUAUAUGUGAAUGGCCAUUUGAAUUUACAUGUUUAAUGUUGUUUGUUAUUUUUCCUAUUAUUCUUUAAUAUAAUUUGGUACCACUUAAACAUAAAUCCUGUGUUCAGUCUUUAUUACUCUCCAUUCCUAGAGCUGAAUUUAGUUUCUUCUGAUCUAGCCCAGACAUAUCAUUC